AAUGCAGGUCAACCAUUUAAAUCAUGCCUGCAACAAGACCAAGGGGCACAUUGUAAAGGAAAUAAUGGAAAUCGUUGUCAACAUGUUGUUUCAAAGUGUUUCACCUUGUUGAACGUCCCCACACAUUCACAGCCGUGAGUUUCAGCGUGGCGAUAGAUUCCCAUCGUGAUGACAGGCUGUUUAAUGACUGCGAGCAGCGUGUGGUGGGAGGUCAGGACCGUGAGCUGUCCAGAGAGUGGAACGUACGCAAUAAGGCUUCAAUGUCAGCUGUAGACUCAGCACCUCAGGAUGUGAGUGUUUCUCAGUGGCCACUCCUGGCUCCUUAUGAGCGUAUUAUAUUGAUUUAAUGACUCAGCUGCCUGGUUAACAUUCCUCCUUCUUCAUUAAUGUCCCAUUUUAACCCAUUAUC